UACGUAGGGAGCAAGCGUUGUCCGGAAUCACUGGGCGUAAAGAGCACGUAGGCGGUUAUUUAAGUCAGAUGUGAAAACCAAGGGCUCAACCCGUGGAUUGCAUUUGAAACUGGAUAACUUGAGGACAGGAGAGGUAAGUGGAAUUCCUAGUGUAGCGGUGAAAUGCGUAGAUAUUAGGAGGAACACCAGUGGCGAAGGCGACUUACUGGCCUGUAACUGACGCUGAGGUGCGAAAGCGUGGGGAGCAAACGGG
rnacentral:rRNA from 1 species